GAUGAAGAACGCAGCGAAAUGCGAUAAGUAGUGUGAAUUGCAGAAUUCAGUGAAUCAUCGAAUCUUUGAACGCACAUUGCGCCCUUUGGUAUUCCUUAGGGCAUGCCUGUUCGAGCGUCAUUUAAACCUUCAAGCUCAGCUUGGUGUUGGGUGACUGUCCGCUUCACCGCGGACUCGCCUCAAAAUUAUUGGCGGCCGGUACAUUGGCUUCGAGCGCAGCAGAAACGCGAACUCGGGCCCGUCGUAUUGGCUCCCAGAAGCUAUCUUCACAAUUUUGACCUCGGAUCAGGUAGGGAUACCCGCUGAACUUAAGCAUAUCAAUAAGCGGAGG
rnacentral:misc_RNA from 1 species